rnacentral:snRNA from 1 species
AUCGCUUCUCGGCCUUUUGGCUAAGAUCAAGUGUAGUAUCUCUUCUUAUCAGUUUAAAGGUAGUAAGGUAGACAUUACACUAAAGGGUAGGAUAGAUGGAUUCUGGUAAACAUCUGUAAGAGUGAAUCAAGUCACGUAGAUACCACAGUCUCU